rnacentral:rRNA from 1 species
CAAGUCGAACGCUUCUUUCCUCCCAAGUGCUUGCACUCAAUUGGAAAGAGGAGUGGCGGACGGGUGAGUAACACGUGGGUAACCUACCCAUCAGAGGGGGAUAACACUAGGAAACAGGUGCUAAUACCGCAUAACAGUUUAUGCCGCAUGGCAUAAGAGUGAAAGGCGCUUUCGGGUGUCGCUGAUGGAUGGACCCGCGGUGCAUUAGCUAGUUGGUGAGGUAACGGCUCACCAAGGCCACGAUGCAUAGCCGACCUGAGAGGGUGAUCGGCCACACUGGGACUGAGACACGGCCCGGACUCCUACGGGAGGCAGCAGUAGGGAAUCUUCGGCAAUGGACGAAAGUCUGACCGAGCAACGCCGCGUGAGUGAAGAAGGUUUUCGGAUCGUAAAACUCUGUUGUUAGAGAAGAACAAGGACGUUAGUAACUGAACGUCCCCUGACGGUAUCUAACCAGAAAGCCACGGCUAACUACAUGCCAGCAGCCGCGGUAAUACGUAGGUGGCAAGCGUUGUCCGGAUUUAUUGGGCGUAAAGCGAGCGCAGGCGGUUUCUUAAGUCUGAUGUGAAAGCCCCCGGCUCAACCGGGGAGGGUCAUUGGAAACUGGGAGACUUGAGUGCAGAAGAGGAGAGUGGAAUUCCAUGUGUAGCGGUGAAAUGCGUAGAUAUAUGGAGGAACACCAGUGGCGAAGGCGGCUCUCUGGUCUGUAACUGACGCUGAGGCUCGGAAGCGUGGGGAGCAAACAGGAUUAGAUAUCCUGGUAGUCCACGCCGUAAACGAUGAGUGCUAAGUGUUGGAGGGUUUCCGCCCUUCAGUGCUGC